AUUGAACGCUGGCGGCAUGCCUUACACAUGCAAGUCGAACGGUAACAGGUCUUCGGAUGCUGACGAGUGGCGAACGGGUGAGUAAUACAUCGGAACGUGCCUAGUAGUGGGGGAUAACUACUCGAAAGAGUGGCUAAUACCGCAUGAGAUCUACGGAUGAAAGCAGGGGAUCGCAAGACCUUGUGCUACUAGAGCGGCCGGUGGCAGAUUAGGUAGUUGGUGGGAUAAAAGCUUACCAAGCCGACGAUCUGUAGCUGGUCUGAGAGGACGAUCAGCCACACUGGGACUGAGACACGGCCCAGACUCCUACGGGAGGCAGCAGUGGGGAAUUUCGGACAAUGGGCGCAAGCCUGAUCCAGCAAUGCCGCGUGCAGGAUGAAGGCCUUCGGGUUGUAAACUGCUUUUGUACGGAACGAAAAGCCCUGGGUUAAUACCCUGGGGUCAUGACGGUACCGUAAGAAUAAGCACCGGCUAACUACGUGCCAGCCGCCGCAGUAA
rnacentral:rRNA from 1 species